CCUACGGGAGGCAGCAGUGAGGAAUAUUGGUCAAUGGACGGAAGUCUGAACCAGCCAUGCCGCGUGAAGGAAGACGGCUCUAUGGGUUGUAAACUUCUUUUAUACGGGAGUAAACUUGAAUACGUGUAUUGAGUUGAAUGUACUGUAUGAAUAAGGAUCGGCUAACUCCGUGCCAGCAGCCGCGGUAAUACGGAGGAUCCAAGCGUUAUCCGGAUUUAUUGGGUUUAAAGGGUGCGUAGGCGGAUUGUUAAGUAAGAGGUGAAAGGUUGGGGCUUAACCCUGGAAUUGCCUUUAAUACUGUGGAUCUUGAGAGUAGGUGAGGUAGGCGGAAUGUGUGGUGUAGCGGUGAAAUGCUUAGAGAUCACGCAGAACACCGAUUGCGAAGGCAGCCUAC
rnacentral:rRNA from 1 species